UCAAAUUUGAAAUCUGGCAGUUGUUGACUGUCCGAGUUGUAAUCUAGAGAAGUGUUACCAGUGCUGGACCGUGUACAAGUCUCCUGGAAUGGGGCAUCAUAGAGGGUGAGAAUCCCGUCUUUGGCACGGACUACCUGUACAUUAUGGUGCGCUCUCAAAGAGUCGAGUUGUUUGGGAAUGCAGCUCAAAAUGGGUGGUAAAUGCCAUCUAAAGCUAAAUAUUGGCGAGAGACCGAUAGCGAACAAGUACCGUGAGGGAAAGAUGAAAAGAACUUUGGAAAGAGAGUUAAACAGUACGUGAAAUUGCUGAAAGGGAAACGCUUGAAGUCAGUCACGUUGGCUAGAAAUCAGCCUUGCUCUUGCUUGGUGUACUUUCUGGUUGAUGGGUCAGCAUCAAUUUUGACCAUUGGAUAAAGGUCAUUGGGAAUACUCCCUGUGUCGUAAUACAGUGGUUGGGAUUGAGGAAUUCAGCACGCCGCAAGGCAGGGUUUCGACCACGUUCGUGCUUAGGAUGCUGGCAUAAUG
rnacentral:rRNA from 1 species